UACGUAGGGUGCAAGCGUGUCCGGAAUUAUUGGGCGUAAAGAGCUCGUAGGCGGUCUGUCGCGUCUGCUGUGAAAACUCAGGGCUUAACCCUGAGCUUGCAGUGGGUACGGGCAGACUAGAGUGCGGUAGGGGAGACUGGAAUUCCUGGUGUAGCGGUGAAAUGCGCAGAUAUCAGGAGGAACACCGGUGGCGAAGGCGGCU
rnacentral:rRNA from 1 species